CGGUGGAUGAACCGCUGCCAACAAAGACACAAGGACGCACGCUUCACCCACGGAGGGGACCGAAAAACCCAGAGGACGGAGUAACUGAAGAAAAUGAGACGGGACCUCUUUUAGCUAGACCGAAGCCCCAAACACCGUCCCGUAAUUACCGGCUCUUUUCUCCUUUGUUUUCGGUGCAAAACUUCGGCUCUGUCAGAAUUUACCGGCCACCCACCUCUCACCCGUUACCUUUGACACGGGUUGUCCCCGUUUGACUCUCGGGGUGGGGGCAUUUUACCAGGGAGAGAGAGAGAAAAAGACAAGCCUCAACUUUCCCGUGUGCCGCAAAGCUAUCUCCGAAAUCAAAGAAAAGUGGUGGCAGCCGUCACACAGGAUACUUUGUAGUCUGUGGGAUGUUAGAGCUCUGGAAGCAGGACUGACUGAAGGAGCAUGGUGAAACACCAACCCCUCCAGGUCUAUGAGCGCCAGCUGUGUUUGUCAUGUAUCACUGGGAUCUACGGUUGCCGCUGGAAACGCUAUCAGCGUUCCCAUGAUGACACCACCAAGUGGGAGCUGCUGUGGUCCCUCAUCCUCCUCUUUACCUUCUGUCUGCUGCUGGUGUGGUUCUACUUCUGGUGGGAGGCACAUAACGACUACAGCGAGUUCAACUGGUUCCUCUACAACCGCUCCGGGGAGUGGAGUGAUGGCACUGUCCCCAUCCUGGCCACCACCGCUGCUGGCUUCACCUACAUUGCAUUUUUAAUGGUUUUAGCACUUUGCCACAUUGCACUUGGGCAACAGUUGAAUUUGCACUGGCUCCAUAAGAUAGGAGUAACUGCUGCUCUACUCACCACCAUUGUUGGGGUGAUAUCUGUCAAUCAAACAUGGGGCCAAGAGUGGGACAUCAUCCCCAUCUCCCUGCAGGCCACAGGUCCGUUCCUGCACAUCGGGGCUCUUGCUGCGGUCACGGCACUGUCGUGGAUUGUGGCUGGACAAGUCGCCCGCUCAGAAAAAACAAUGUUCCAGGUGCUGGUCGUGCUGCUGUAUCUCAGUGUGUUACUGGGACUCUACGUGGUGCCCCUGUACAUCACGUCCCCCUGCAUCAUGGACCCCACCUCCCUCAAACAACGCCCUGAUGUCAUUGGCCACCAGGGAGCCCCCAUGCUCGCACCAGAGAACACACUGUGGUCCUUCCAGCGAGCUCUGCAGAUGAACGUCACUGGGUUGGAGGCUGACGUGGCUAUCAGUGUUGAUGGAGUGCCUUUCCUGAUGCACGACCACACCCUGCAGAGGACCACAGACGUAGGGAAGGUUUUCCCAGACAGACAGAUGGAUGAUGCGUCGCACUUCAACUGGACAGAUCUGCAGCAGCUCAAUGCAGGACAGUGGUUCCUCAAGGAUGACCCCUUCUGGACUGUGCAAACCCUCUCCCCCCAUGAGAAGCAUCUGAUUGCCAACCAGAGUGUGUGCAGCCUGCAGCAGCUUCUAAAGCUGGCUUCCUAUCAUAAUAGCACAGUGGUUUUCAGGCUGAGGAGACCACCUGCAGAGCACCCCUGUUACCACAGCUGGAUCAAUGAUACACUGCAGGCUGUGCAGCAAUCUGGGGUCCCUCAGAGCCUGGUGAUGUGGACUCCAGAUGAAGACAGAGCUCAGGUGAGACAGCUGGCACCCAGUCUGAUCCAGACCUCAGUGGACAAACAGAGUCCUGAAAGUCUCCAUCAGUACGGCAUCAGCAGGCUGCUGCUCAGAUACAACCAGGCCAGCACACAGGAAAUCAGAGACUUCUCCCAGGGCAACAUCAACCUCACCCUUUACACCAUCAACGAGCCCUGGCUGUACUCGGUGCUCUGGUGCAGCGGGGUGUCUUCAGUCUCCUCAGAGGCCCCACAUAUCCUCAAAAAGGUGCCUUACCCCAUCUGGCUCAUGAGACCAGAUGAAUACUGCCUGAUGUGGGUGUCUGCGGACCUCAUCUCCUUUGCUGUAGUCAUAGGAAUAUUCAUUUUCCAGAAGUACCGGAUGAGUGGUAUGCGCAGUUACAACCCUGAACAGAUCAUGCUGAGUGCCGCUGUCGGGAGGUCCAGCAGAGACCUCAACGUGAUGAAGGAGAAACUUAUCUUCUCUGGUCAACCCCAGUAGCGGCCUGUGUGAUGUGCACCACCUCCUGUCUACGCUACCACCAGUGUGACUUCUUCCUUUAUUCCAUGCAUCCAUUGCAUCCCUCGCUACACCACUUCUCUGCCUACUAUGCCCUUCUCCCCCUCAUCCAUCCAUCCAUCCAUCCCUUCAUGCACCAAACCUCCCCCAUAAUCCUCCCACUGGAGACAACGUCAUGUGUAGGGGAGCUUAUAGACGCCCCAGUCUGUCUAGACAGCCUCUAGUGCUGGGGGUCAAAGAGGUGGGGAAUGGAGUCGGCAGUGCUGAAGAGCUGUACGCGGACAAUGGCUACGACUACUACACCAAUCAGGGCAUUAGCCAGUGAUUGGGACUCAGCCUGUGUGAAUCUGCUGUAGCAAGACGGAGACAACGACACCCACAGUGUACACAUCAUUCCCGGUUUAGUCAGCGUGAAGUCUGCUCGCCUCUGUCCUGCUGAUGAACUGACAGACUGCUGUAUCUGACAGAAAACAGCCACCCAGUUGCUUUGUGUACAUUCUGUAAAUAGUUUAGGUUUUGGCUUGUCAGACAUACUGUAUAUCACAUGGGACUACACGCACUUUUUAUUAAUGGAAUUCGCCAAAUCUGUGGCCUCCUUUCUCACAUCCAAAUGUCUGAGAGGCCCCUCUGAGUUCCAGAUGCCUGCUUCUUUCUAAAGAUGCGUUCCCACAUUCUUUAUUAUUUGAAGCUAAUUUUCCAAAGCAGUUCCUUGUUUUUUAACCACUGUGCAUGGUAUUCUUUUCUUAGCAGAUGAAUUUAUCUUUAAUGAGGCAUUUUACAAGCCGUUAUUGCAGCAUGAGACUAAACGUUAGCGGCUCAUUAAGCUCUUGCCUUCUGUCAGCACUCCACUGUGCCGUUGUACAUAUACCAAUAUUAGUAUUUUUAUUUAAAGAAAAAAACAAAAAAUCACAAACACGCUGUUUACAGAAGUCCUGCCUUCUCUUCUAGGUGAAAUAUUCAGAUGUAAGAUAGUCCCCCCCCCCCCCCCCCCCCCCGAUAUGUUAUCAUAUCACCUGAUGUGUGUGAGCUAUGCUCCCAGUGCAACCAGAAGAACUGGUGAAAAUGGUUUGGAGGGAAACAUUUGUGCUGUCUUUUUAUGGUUAAUGUGAAUGUGUUUGGAUCCUUUUCUUUUUUAAAGAUGUGUACGUUGUUUUGUGUGUAUUCUGGCUGGGUACAUACUUUUUUUACCCUGUGUGCAGUGCUAUGUUGAGUGUUAUUGUGCAUAAAAGGUGAACCAGUGUGUGAGAUGCGCCAGCCAACUAAGUAUUACAUUCGAACAAUGUGACAGUGAAGAACUGUUGAAUAAUUACUAUAGCAAUAGUCAUGACGAAAGCAAAUUCAUUUCCUAUUCAGCCUCUGAGUUGCAGUUAGGCCUGUGGUAUUUUAGUGUUGGCACACACACUGCAUCUAAAUGUUGGUUGCUGGUGUAAAACUGAAUGCUGUAAGGUAAAUGAAGUGGUGCAAAAUGUGAAAAUAAAGCUCAAAGCUAGCUACAGGUAUCACAAGAGGCAGCACAGGGUCCAGAAAUGGAUUGCCUUUUGUGUUUAUUUUCUUUCUUUGUGCCUCAGAAGUAAACAUUAAAAGUUCUUCUAAUACAGGA